UUUUAACUGCUGCCAGCACAAUGAGAGCCUACAGUAUAAAAACAAGAUGCUGCAGCCAAUGAGCAGCCGGCGGGGGCUGGCUGCAGGAUGACUCAACCUCCUCGCUCAUGUUUUAUCAGACAACUACUCAAUAUUUUGCUUUAGUAUAAUUUUCAGGGAAAUUAAAGCGGGAUUCGGGAUUAAGAUUUAGCUUCAGUAGGAUUUUCGGGACAAUUAGAGCAGGAUUUUAUAAAACAUUUAUAUUUUGGCCAGGGAUUUUUUUUGUAAAAGUUGUAAAAUUGCCCCUGAAAUACAUUUUGAAAAAUAUGUAAAUAUAUGAAAGUUUAAACUAAAUAUUUUUUUUCAAAUAAAAAAUAUUUAGUUCAAGCUUUGCUUUUUACAAAAUGUAUUUAGCAUGUACUUAAAACAUAUUUUUGGCCAGAGAAAUUUAUUUUUUGCCAUAUGGAAAGCCCCGACUGUUGAUUGUAUCAGCUUUGCACUCUUGGAGUGCAUCAUCCAGAUACUCAAAGUACACUUUAUUUUGGGGUAUUUUUAGUGUGAUCACUACUUACACUAUUAUGCUAGAAAAUGGCUUAGAAUACUGCAUAAGUGUGCGAUUUGGGACACACCUUUCAAGUCCUAUUGAAUAAUCAAAAUAUUGUGUUAUAACGUUUCAGGAUUUUUUUUAAAAACCAUUUAAAAAAAGAGACUUUAUCCUAUUGACAAUGAAACCAGUUAUAUAAUAAAUUAUGUUGUAUUUUUAUAUUGUAUAUUGAUGUUAAGUGUUUCUGCAUUAAGUUCUAGUUGAGAGCUGAGUUGCCGUGACAACCGUGACGCAUCAUCAGUCAACAAAGAGCAGCACCAAACUCUGAACUCUCUCAACUCUUCUCUUUUAUUGUAAAAGGAGGAGACCAGUAUACCCGGAGUAAACCCACGCUGACACCGGAAGAACAUGCAAACCCCACACAGAAAGGCCACCUGACUUAGCCGGAGCUCGAACCGGGAACCUUUUUGAUGCCCUGUUUGAUUCUCAUUAUAAAGGUAAGUGUGCAGUUUUAUAGUUUUAUCAGUAUUUUAUACAUGUUAAAAAACAUAACUGCAAACACACAAAGAAGACUUAGUAAGACUGAAGUUUAUUGUUUAGUUAAGUGGUCACAUUUGACAGUUUAGGCUAAAAAAAGUCCAAUAAAGUUCAACACUCAGCUCUUAAAGGAGAGUUACGACAGCAGGAGUUCAAAAUGCUUGAGCGCCUCGUGAUUCAUGUUGACUUCAGAUACUUCCAGAAAGUUGAUAGCAGGCCAUUCAAAAACACUGAAUUAGAGGCAACAAACUUUAAUUUUUGGAUCAAUAAAAUGCAUUGAUGUACAUUAUUUAUAUAACACACCGAUAUGUGUAUGUACACAGCAAAACCCCCAUUCAUUGUUAAAUUAACACUUUACAGACAAGGCUAAGCUAAAGCCAGGACUAGGCCUUCAACGUCCAUUGACACGAGGUAAAUUAUUUUCUGUGGUGCAGAAUGAUGGCUAAAUUUGAACCCACAGUAAGGGCUAUACAGGCUAUACCUGGAUUAUUUUGCCCCUAACAAUACCAAACUAUAUUUUGAAACCUUCAAAAAUGUGUUUGUGAAAGUCUUAUAUUGUUCUAGCACCCCCCUACAACAUUUGUAUUUGUAACACAUCAAUAAGUUGCACGGGGUUUCUAUUAAUGUUUUUAUGUAUUUAUUUUCACAACACUUAUCAACAAAACAUUUAUUAAAAUUAAGAGACAAAUUAUAUGAAAUGAAAUUCGCAAACUAAACUUAAAUUAAACUUGAAAAUUAUGUCUGACCCUCUCUAUUUCUCCCAUCAUGGUGACCUUCAAUCCAUUACAAUGCGUUUAAAAUUACAGUCUGUCUUUCGUAAUAGGCUAAUUGAAUUGAAACAAAACAUAAACAACAUUACAACAAAAUUUAAACCCAACAAUACUCAAACAUAAAUAUAAAACAGACGUUCUGUAUUAGGAUACAUGUAAAAAACAAUCUGAUAUAGCGUUUAUAAUAGUUGGGUGCAGUAAGUUUAUAAAAAUCACUUUCACACAGCAGACAAAAUAAAUAAAUAAAUGUAUUUUUAAAGCAUUUAUAUUCACAUCGCAUGGGAGAAAAGUUUUGAAAAUGUUAAAAUUAAUUAUAUUUUAACUGCAAAAAUAUACUUAUAAUGUUAAAAUUAAAAAAAAAAUUCCAUAUGGAAAGCCGCGACUGUUGAUUUUAUUAAUUUCCAGCGUUGCACUCUUGGGGCUCUAUCUUACACCCGGCGCAAUGUGCAACGCAAGUGUCUUUUGCUAGUUUCCACCCUGCGCAAUUAUAAUUUUCACUAGUAUUAGUGAAAAUUACUGCAUUAGUAAUAUGUGCCUAAACGGGACGACAACGCGGGUUUGCUUUACACAUACAUGAAUGCGCAGCAGCACAAAAACACUUUUAAAUAUGAAAGAUUAAAGUAUUGAAUGUAAAAUAUUAUUAAGUCUCUUGGACAUAAAUGAGGACUAAUUAUGAGACGUUAGAAGCACAAUGAGCUGCUUCACCCAGGGCUCGAAAUUGCGACUAUUUUGGUCGCAUAUGCGACCGAAAUUUUAUCUGUGCGACCUUAAAAUAUAUUUGGGAGCAUUUGUGCGACUGCCCAUUUUGUUGUGGUGCGACUUGAUUUAGAUUGAUACUGCGUGGCGUGCUGCUGUUCCAGGUUCUGUGUUCUCUCCAACAUUCCAUAACCAAUCAAAAUUCACCAUUAAGUUCUUGCGUUUAAUGAAGACCGUAGAUUGGCUAAUAUGAAUGUCAAUCAUUCCUUGCCGUGCUACGUUGGUAGGUGAAGCGCGAAAAUGUGAAAAAACGAAGCGCCAGCAUGACGAGGACGAGCCGAUUACAGCCUAUGUAACUACUGUAAUGACGACGAUCCGGAUUCAAAUGCGACUUCACCACCGGAAAAUAAGACUUGACGUUAAACCUUUCGGAAAGAGUGCCUUAAAGAUUUCGAGUGUCUCCGCUAUGAAAAUGACUCGAUGUAACUUACGGUGUUUACUGUAAAUCAUGUGAAACGGCGUUGGUGGCGGAAUCAAAACAUUCUAAGCGCCAGACCUUGCUUAAACUUGGCGUAAGUGCCAAAAACACAAGACGUGUCAUGACAAAUGUGUUCAUUAUUGAUGGAGACACCGACCUGUCUGUCAAAGUGUGUUUGAUGGUGUAUGUGCGCAUGCGCUGGUGAAUGGACAUUCGACAAACAUCCUUGUGGCCCAUGUUGAUGUGGAACACGACAAUGCUGAUGGUAUGUUUUUGUUGUAUUUUUUAAAACAUUGCCUAUUUAGUAGUAAUAGCAUCCUGGUAAUGCAGUUAUCAAUACCAAUAUAUAUUAGCCUUCUAUAUUAGGGUCACUUUUGUAAUGUCCCAAUUAAUCAGUGUUUUACGUGUUUUCUAGAUUUUCUAUGUAAUCUUAAUCAUGUUACCUGUAAUUGUUAAAUGAAUAUUGCUGCUAUACUAUUUCAACAGCAUUUGAGUAUUAAUUUAGGAA